CUGAAACAUUACGUCCUUCCCUUGGUAACUGAAUCGUUCAUUUGAAACACCCGGGACUGGAGAGAAUUCUUUUGGGGGAAAGAGUUUUCACUGUCAUUUUUAUUUGAAUUUUUCAUUUGCUUAAAGGUGAGUCCAAAUUAAACGAAAGAACUUGAGGUGUUGACUGUCUUACUAAAAUAAAGGAACAGGCACCAUUUCACAGGCAAAUCCUAUUUCUGGAACCUGUGGGACAUUAUCCAGUUUCAGUGGAGUGCCUUCGUAGCUUUCCUAAACCUAAAGGACUUAUCAGCAACAUGGAGACAAUGUUGUCCUGCAUUCUUCAGUUCCAGAAGCUGGCAGAAGAAAGGCCCUAUGAGCGGUGAGCCCGCUCUUUAGCGCGCACUGGGGAGGAGGCUCCACCUGCUGCCGGCCCACCAAUACUUCCAGCUGACUGCUUUGCAGAACAGCAAAGCAUCCCAGCUAGCUUCUGUACGGGCCCACCUGAAGCACUCCUGAGAGAUUUCAUUCGAGCUACUCCAGCCUGUCCCGUGUGAAUAAGCACAGGUCCCCCACUCAGCUGGUCUCUACUCCAAGGAUCGCGUUUCAAAAUCUGUCGACAGGAAUCAAGGAAUCAAGGUAUUUUCUUUCUCCCUGAAUCACUGGUCAGUUCUUCUCUACUCCAGUUCUUCUCUAUUAAGUGAGGACUGUGCUACCAGCCUGUGGACUCACCAUUUACAGAUCUUUUUUUUUUUUUUUUUUUCCACUGAGAUUUUUGCAUGGUCAUGUAAUUGAUGCAAUUAUAAUUUCCCCUUUAAGGUCUGUCUCCACAUCCACAUUGUAAGCUCCUGUAAGCCAGUCUGUCUCGUAUAUCACCGUAUUCCGAGUGCCCAGCACAGUACCUUGAGCCCUUCAGGACACAAAACGCGUUAAUAAUCUUAGGUGGGCGAGAGAGGAGCAAAGAAAUAAUACUAAUGGAUCCCUUAGUAAAAUCCAAUAGUAAAAAGACUGAGAGAGGGAAAGCUACAUGGAGAUGUACUGGAAAGAGGAGCUCCAAUGUUUUUAGGAAGAGAUCAGUGAUAGAGAAAACUCUGGCUGUGGGUGACUCAGAUCAGGCCCCUUGUCUCUUAACCAUAGAGAAUACGACUCCGAAUAUGUGAAUAUUGAGGACUGAGUAGUUGGAAGACGUUAAAACUGGUUUCGACAUUAAAAAAGAUUAGCAAAGAAGAUGAAAACUAGAAAAAUAUAUAAAACUUAAGUUGUUUCUUUUCUCUUUUCCAUCUAAAUGAGUAACCAUUAAUGCCUGAAAAGCAGCAACAAACCCGGUAUCAUGUCAUUGUAUGUUCGUUAAUUUCGAAGUGCUCUUUUUUUGUAUGCAAAACACAAUUCGAUAUAGUCUGUUGCCCAUGUUGCAUAAUUACCUAAUCCUACCUAGGGGGAAAAGUAAAACUAGACAGAAAAACUAAAGAGGAAGUUAAGGAUAAAUCAGAAUCCACGAUUCCCAAUUACAACUGAAAACUAUUUGAAUAUAACUCAAUAUUAUUUAUUGAUCUAUAUACUAUGGGGGCGAUUUCUCAAACUACAUACUAUUUGGUAAAAGUCUGCCAGGAGUCAAUCUGUAAGUCUGUGACAGUUCUGUUCUCUACCAGCAUCACAAAGAAAGGGUCCAGGGUGCUUAGAGUUCCCUGAAUGAAAGGCACUGUACAAGUAGAGAGUGGUGCAUGUAUUAUUAACCUUCCUGCGCUUGUUUCCUCAUCUGUAAUAUGGGGUUAAUGACAUUUCUGUACCUCACAAGAAUGUUGUGCGAAUUAAUGUUUGUAAAGCCCUUUAAGAUCCACGGAUGAAAGAUGCCAUAAAAGUCCAAAGGUGGUAAUAUUAUAGUUAUUGAAACUGGAAACACCAAUAAUGCUGGGAACUGAAUAUAUAUUUGGUUGCAAGGCACCCCGUGUAUUAUGAAUUCACAGGCACUUACAGAACCUUACUGUUUCAAAAUUAAUGUUUUUAUACAUAUAUAUAUAUGAUAAAUCCCAAAGAGAUAUUACAUAUAUGUGAUAAGCCAAAUGAAUGUAAUUUGUUCAUAAGUGGCAAAAACACAGUAACGGAGUCCACGUUUCUUCCCUGUCUCUUUCUAGAAAGCACUGUAGUAGAAUACGUUGGAUCUGUACUUGAAAUUAUGUAAUGUUAGAACGGUCUGUUUAGAAGGAGGCAGUAAAUGGCAUGUUACAAAUGCUAACAUGAUUUAAUGAAAUCAUCCGUACCUCUCAAUACUGCUAUAUUUUUCUAUACACUUUGAAUCUACUUAGUUUAUAAAUAGAAAGCAAAAAACACGUAACAGAAAUCUUUUUGAAAAUGAAAAAGACAAAUUAUCAUUUGUCACCUGUUUGUCUGAACUAAUUCUAAUGUGGGCUUUAAGAAUUUUUCUAAAUGUUUAAAAAGGCAUUUUAGGGGCGCCUG